GUACAUUUCUUUCAUGUGACUGGCAGGUACAUACAGAAUGCACACUUGAUUCAAAUUUAAAAUAGUUACCUCGCACGACAGACUACGGCGCUGUUGAGAAGUAGGGAGGUACCCAUGACUAUUAUGAGUUCAAACAGACUGUCAAGUGUUAAAGGAAUUGCUUGAAUUUUUGGAAAAUACCUGCCAGUAGGUGGUUAGCUUAGCUAAGCACAACAAUUGGAAGCACAGCGAGCCAGUUAGGCAGGCUUUGUCCAAAGUUAAAUAAUUCAUUUUUAAAGUUAACUAAUACACAUGCAAUAUCUUUUUUUUUUUUUUACCCGCUCAAAAAAUAAAAUGAAAGUUGUGGUUUUAUGGCGGUUAAUCUGCUGGAUUACUACUUGCAAGUGUAGUGACUUCCUGGAGUCUGUUGUUUUGACCUACCACCCAGUGACAAGACAGAAGGAAGAAAGAAAAACUAGUAAAUAAAAAGCAAAUUCUUCCAAAAAUGUUGAGCAAUUCCAUUAAAUUUAACAUUAAAUAAAAAAAACUGGGGGUUAAUUUAUUGAGACGGUGGGACCAUAGUACACUGAGAUUGAGACUUGAACACUCAACAGCACCAGUGCCUGGAAAGCCUAUAGGUGUAAAAUAUGGAGACAUUUUUUUAAACCAAUGAAUCACUCUCUUCUUUUCCCUCUCUAUGAUCUUCCACUUUUCUAACCUCAAUCCACUGGGACAGUACACCCAGAGAUACCAUCUAGCUUACAAGUUGGAAAUACAAC